UCCUCGUUUAGACGAGGCAGUCUGUCCAGAGUGCUUCCCGCUCUCGCGGGAGUGGCAACAGGACACAAGGGUUGCGCUCGUUGCGGGACUUAACCCAACAUCUCACGACACGAGCUGACGACAGCCAUGCAGCACCUGUGCACGAGUCCCGAAGGAAGACCGGGGUUUCCCCCAGCUGUCCCGUGCAUGUCAAGCCCAGGUAAGGUUCUUCGCGUUGCUUCGAAUUGAACCACAUGCUCCACCGCUUGUGCGGGCCCCCGUCAAUUCCUUUGAGUUU
rnacentral:misc_RNA from 1 species